AGCUCAGAAUUCAGAACUCAGGACU
rnacentral:piRNA from 1 species